CCUACGGGCGGCAGCAGUGAGGAAUAUUGGUCAAUGGACGAGAGUCUGAACCAGCCAAGUAGCGUGAAGGAUGACUGCCCUAUGGGUUGUAAACUUCUUUUAUAUGGGAAUAAAAUGUUCCACGUGUGGCAUUUUGUAUGUACCCUAUGAAUAAGGAUCGGCUAACUCCGUGCCAGCAGCCGCGGUAAUACGGAGGAUCCGAGCGUUAUCCGGGUUUAUUGGGUUUAAAGGGAGCGUAGGUGGAUUGUUAAGUCAGUUGUGAAAGUUUGCGGCUCAACCGUAAAAUUGCAGUUGAAACUGGCAGUCUUGAGUACAGUAGAGGUGGGCGGAAUUCGUGGUGUAGCGGUGAAAUGCUUAGAUAUCACGAAGAACUCCGAUUGCGAAGGCAGCUCACUGGACUGCAACUGACACUGAGGCUCGAAAGUGUGGGUAUCAAACAGGAUUAGAUACCCCAGUAGUC
rnacentral:rRNA from 1 species